rnacentral:lncRNA from 1 species
GAUUCUUAGUUAACAUGUCUUCCAUAAUAAAUAGAAGUUGCUAUACUGAUUUUUUUGUUUGUUGGACAUAAAUGUCAAUGAGUACUAGAUGUGUUUUGGACAAAAUGGUAAGAUAGGAAGGCAAGGAUGCCUAAUGAUUGAUUAGUGUAUUAAACACAGCAGAUACAGCCUUGAGGGUAUACAUCUUUUUGUUUGAAAUUAAUACACUUAAACAAAUUAGUGAAUGUAAGUGUAAAUAGGUUCCCAAACUCAUAAUUUUACCCAAAAGAAAUAAAUACUAGUAAGUAAACAGUCAGGCAAGAAUUGAGACACAAAUAAAAUUUUUUUAAAAAAUAGUUUUAUGAAAGAACAUCAGCAAGGAGUGUUAAUGAGUCGUUUUCUACCCUGUUGCCACCUCUUCUAUUUAGCACAGCAAUGACUAAGACAUAUUUAGAAGGAUGGCCUAAAGAAAAAUCAGGACUAAGUAGUUUAGGUAAAAAGAAGAAUUCAUCUACAGAUGGAGAAAAACAAUCUUGCCCUUCUUCACGCCAAGUUCCAACAUGUUUGAAAUUUAGCACUGGAGGGAUUGGGAGAGCUCAAUAAUUAGACUGCGAUUGAAAUGUUCCACUAAAAUAAUGAUUAGAGAGGCAUCCAGGGGCACUUUCUAUCUUCUUCAUUCGACCUCAGCAUGGAGCACAUCAACUCUGUUUCUUAGUUGGACUAUACUACCUUAGAUACAGAACUGAUUUUUAAAAGUAUAUAAAAUUAUUUCAAGUCUAAAAAUCAUAAAGAGUUUAUCUCAGGAUAAAUAAUUUUUAUGAAAGUAUUUUAUCGCCAGUUCAUUUGUAACCUAAUUGCUUUGCUUAAGUAGAUAAAUCCCAAGCAAUGAGUGAAAUAAACUAGUAGACUAGUGGGUUUUUAACCCUCUACCUAUGUCUCUCAAAUGUUUAUAAUUUCUGCUCCACUAAUAGCCCUGACCCUGCUAGGUAACAAUACUCUAGGAAAUUGAAGAUAUGAGUUCAGAGAAAAAAAAUCAUAAAGGAAGAUAGACAUUGUGAAGAAUGGGCAGUAGUGCUAAUGUAAAGAAAGAAAGAAGGCUGCAUGGAUGAGGGAUUACAUUUUCUGUAGGACAGGAAGAAGAGAUCUACAGAUGUAUAGGUAUAAGCUCUAAGUUGGGAUAAGCAAUGAUGUAGAUUACUAAACAAAAUCAGAUCAUGUGUCUUAUCCACUGAGUUCUACCUUAAUGUUUUUGUUUUCAUGGCUAUAUUCUCAAAAUACCUGAAUUUGUUUUUAGAGUCAUAUAUUUCUUUGUCUUUUCUUAAUUGACAGUUUUAUAUAUUUCUUUCAUUUCUUUCUUGAUUACCUUGAGUUUAACAUCAUGUGCUAUAUGGGAUGAAGAAAAAGUAUGAUGUGUUUUCUACCUUUAAAUUGCUUGCAAUCUCUUUAAAGAUGCUGACAGAAGAAAUAGUCACUCACAAUAAAGCACAAGAAAUGAUUGCAUGAUUCAUACUUUAGAGUUAAGAGAAUCUGGGUAUAGGGAACUAUUGGCAUUAAAGGGGAAUACUUCAAGAAGGAAAUGCAGCUUCAAAUAGGCCUUGAAGAAGGCAUUUUAUCUGCCUAAACAAAAGAACCAUCUCUUCACAGACAUUAACUUGGGUGGGAGAUUCACGAAAGAGGGGAAGCCCCACCCAGUCUGUUCCCCUGUCUCCUGCUCUGACCACUUCUCCAGCCACUGCCCCCUUUGUUCUCUCUGCAUCAACCAUGCACCCCCUUUGGUCUUUUGUCAUUGCAGUUCCCACCACCCUGAAUGCUCUUCUUCCCCCAGUUAGCCACAGAUCUUCCUCCCUCACAUCUUUUUGGUUUCUUCUUAAAUAUUAAAUAAGUAUGCAUUAGAGAGGCCUUUCCUGACAAUCUCAUGAAAAUAUAGUAAAUCUCCUCCCUUCUUUCAUAUUUGUCAUGGGAUUUGUUUAUUGUCUGUCUGUCCCCAGUAAAUUGAAAGCUCUAAGGGGGCAGAGAUAUUUUUCUGCUCUGUAAACUGCUAUAAGCCCAGUACCCUGAAGGGUGCCAGGCACAUGUUAGGCAUUCAAUAAAUAUUUGACAAAGGAAGGAAGGAAAGGAGGGAGGGAGGGAAGAAAUUAGUUCAGGUAGACCUUGAAAGCUUCAAGUGUUUCAGUUGCAAAUAUAUUAGAUGUAUCUCAUUAUCUAGUAAGUCAUUUUAAGGUAAACUUACUGAUACAUUUGAAAGUUGUUUGCCCAUGAAUUCUUUGCUAGGUAAUAUUAACAUCUACCCCUGCACUCCCUUAAAUAUUUAUCAGUAGCUUAAACUUUAACAAAAGACAUGGUUUCCUUUGGCAGAGCAGGGACUGUGCUCGUAUCCUAGCUUGUCAAUGGAAAGAAAAAGAAAUACUGCUGAACAAGUGAAAGAUUAUCAUGGCAGCCACAUCCUUAAAUGGGAGCAAUUGGUAGCCUGCUGCUUCUCAGGCUUAAAGAAGUAAAAGAUACUGCCCCAAGCCAUUUUCAGCUGGAAUUGUAAGAGUAUGCACACAAAUACACAAAGUUACCCUGACAUAAGCGUGAAUAAAAUAUAUUAUCUGAUGCUCAGGAACAUUUCCUUCUUCCCUCAAAAUGAAUAAUUUAUUGGUUUUCUACCUGCUGUUUCCAAGCUCACAUUAAUGAUUCAUUGAUUAGUCUCAAAAACAGAUGCUUGUAAUUAAAUCAUAGGUUCUGUAAGAUCAUUAACUGGUUCUCUAAUGGCUGAAAGAAUUAAGGAGAAAUGGGGUAGUUUAAAUUCAUAGAUUCAAGAAGGAUUAUAGGAAGCAUAUUCUGUACAAAUGUGACAUUUGCUGUAUUGUUUUCCUUUCUGAUAGAAAUUUCUCACCUUCUAAAUUUUCAUUUGUAUGGAACUUGUUUUAGUUUUCUUAACAUCAGCAGGUUUAUUAUUUAUUCCACCCACAGAAAUUCUGACUCAGAUGGCUAGUGCAGUGUAGCCUUGUUACUUGUGUUCAGAUUUCUUAUUGCUCUUUGUUUUAUGCCUUAGUUUAUCCUUAUUAGAAUCUCUCCAAAAUAAUUGAUAAUUUAUGUUGGUCAAGUAGCAUUCCAUUAUCUGUGGUAAAAAAUGCUUUAUUAAUUAUACCACAUAGGUUUCAGCAUGUGCAAAGUCUUCUGAAAGUAUCAUAAAUGAUAGUUGUUUGGGAGAUGUGAUAACUUUUAUUUCCAUUAAUGUUUACAUUUCUGCCUCAUUCUCAGCUGAGAUUGUUACUUAUAUUUUUAUCCACUUGAAUCUUGAAGUUAAGGUAAGCUGAAUAUAUCUAAUUGUCUUUCAUACACAUUACUUUGUUCUACAGAAGAAAUUUAUUAAUGGAGUAAGGUGAAUAUGAUAAACUCAAAUCAGAUUUUCUUCUUAUGUCUGCCCCUGAAUCCAAAAUUGGGGGUGCCUGCUAUAAAAUCAAGUAUGUUUAUGAAAACCUUCCCUCUCCUAUAAUUGCUGGAGUAUUCAUUCAGAGCUCUCACUUGCUAUAUAAUUUCUAACCAAACACUUUCCAGGGAAUGUACAACAAGGAAGUACAUGGACAACACUCAAAUUCAAAUGUCCAUAGAUGGUGGAAUUUUACCACUCUUUAGCUUACAAGCUCAAUCAACUGAAACGUUUCAGAAAUGUUUGUGUUUGGGGUUUGGGUUUGAGAUGUGAAACAAAUGACAUCCUUAAACAUGUUAUUGUUAGUCUUCAAGGUACAUAUGUGUACCUUGAUAUAGAACUAUUUAUAGUUACAGUUUGCUAAAAAAUUAUUAUAAUGAAAUUAACUUUGGGAGGUAGAUGUUAAAGUACCAGCUUGUAAAAAGAAUGUUUAAUGCCAAUCAUUUGUAUGUUUAAUACCUGUGUGCUCAAUGUAGUGUCAUCUUUACUAGAUGAUUUACUUCACAAUGUUUUCAUUCCUGUUCCCCAAAUGAAAAUAAGUAGUCUAUUAACUAAUUUACAGCUCUUAGUUUUGGAUACUAUUGCAGAGACACAGGAGCACUUUUAACUCAAACACUAUGGUUUACCAUAGUUUUGCGGUGGUAUGAAAUUGAGUUAGCACUGCAAUGCAAUAUUGAAAAAAUCAGAAUGCAAUAAAGAAAUGUAGAUAUCACCUGUGACUACUUCAUGUACUACCCAGACUCCUCAUUUAUUGUUUGAACCCAAGGGUUAGUUUUUUAUCUUGCCAAAAGGACAUGAUCAGGAAGUCAGUGUGAUACCGUCUUGCUGCAGUGCAGAAGUUUUAAGAAGCAAGAUACUUUUUAAUGAUGUACUAUCACAGGAUAGAAGUUAUGCCCUACAUGAAACUACGUAUUCGCAGAAACUUUGUGUCGUCAAUGUGCAUCUGUUCUUACUAGUCUGGAGGGAAACAAAUAAGAUUUCCAGUUUUCUGCUGAUCCAACACCAUUUCCCAUAGGCAGCACAAUACACCAGCACACAGUUAGCAGCACUUUGGGACAAAACUGUUGAAAGGAAAGAAACAGUGAUUAUUCUGAAAACAUGUAAAGCAACACUGAUCAUAAGUAAUUUUUGUUAGGUGGGACAAUACUAUAUAAUAUGAUUUCUUGUGUCUAAAUUUUCUCUAAAAGAUUAUUUGGGCUGGGUCCAGAAGGCUCCAAUUUCCCUAAGCAACCUUGAUCAUCAAUGUUGUCAUGCUUCAGCUUUUGGCAGUUUUGAUUCAUUACCAAUUAUUAAUAUCAUUAUUUAAAUAUGAAUAUUGUCCCUUCCCAUUAUGAAAAGCUAUUACAAACAUAUAUGGAUUUAUAUAAAGGUUGAUGACUAUAUGCUUUUUUAUAUUAGAAAAUCAUGUGAAAACAAAAUUAAUCUGAUGAAUGCUGUUAAUUAUUUUAACUUUUUUAUUAGGUAUAAAAUGUUCAUA